AACGAACGCUGGCGGCAUGCCUAACACAUGCAAGUCGAACGAGACCUUCGGGUCUAGUGGCGCUCGGGUGCGUAACGCGUGGGAACCUGCCCUUAGGUUCGGAAUAACUCCCCGAAAGGGGUGCUAAUACCGGAUAAUGUCUUCGGACCAAAGAUUUAUCGCCUUUGGAUGGGCCCGUGUUGGAUUAGCUAGUUGGUAGGGUAAAAGCCUACCAAGGCGACGAUCCAUAGCUGGCCUGAGAGGAUGAUCAGCCACACUGGGACUGAGACACGGCCCAGACUCCUACGGGAGGCAGCAGUGGGGAAUAUUGGACAAUGGGCGAAAGCCUGAUCCAGCAAUGCCGCGUGAGUGAUGAAGGCCUUAGGGUUGUAAAGCUCUUUUACCCGGGAUGAUAAUGACAGUACCGGGAGAAUAAGCUCCGGCUAACUCCGUG
rnacentral:rRNA from 1 species